rnacentral:rRNA from 1 species
AGCGAACGCUGGCGGCAGGCCUAACACAUGCAAGCCGAACGAAGUCUUCGGACUUAGUGGCGGACGGGUGAGUAACACGUGGGAACGUGCCUUUAGGUUCGGAAUAACUCAGGGAAACUUGUGCUAAUACCGAAUGUGCCCUUCGGGGGAAAGAUUUAUCGCCUUUAGAGCGGCCCGCGUCUGAUUAGCUAGUUGGUGAGGUAAAGGCUCACCAAGGCUACGAUCAGUAGCUGGUCUGAGAGGAUGAGCAGCCACAUUGGGACUGAGACACGGCCCAAACUCCUACGGGAGGCAGCAGUGGGGAAUCUUGCGCAAUGGGCGAAAGCCUGACGCAGCCAUGCCGCGUGGAUGAUGAAGGUCUUAGGAUUGUAAAAUCCUUUCACCGGUGAAGAUAAUGACUGUAGCCGGAGAAGAAGCCCCGGCUAACUUCGUGCCAGCCGCCGCAGUAAAAC